AGUGAACGCUGGCGGUAGGCCCAACACAUGCAAGUCGAACGGCAGCACAGGAGAGCUUGCUCUCUGGGUGGCGAGUGGCGGACGGGUGAGGAAUACAUCGGAAUCUACUUUUUCGUGGGGGAUAACGUAGGGAAACUUACGCUAAUACCGCAUACGACCUACGGGUGAAAGCAGGGGACCUUCGGGCCUUGCGCGAUUGAAUGAGCCGAUGUCGGAUUAGCUAGUUGGCGGGGUAAAGGCCCACCAAGGCGACGAUCCGUAGCUGGUCUGAGAGGAUGAUCAGCCACACUGGAACUGAGACACGGUCCGGACUCCUACGGGAGGCAGCAGUGGGGAAUAUUGGACAAUGGGCGCAAGCCUGAUCCAGCCAUACCGCGUGGGUGAAGAAGGCCUUCGGGUUGUAAAGCCCUUUUGUUGGGAAAGAAAUCCAGCUGGCUAAUACCCGGUUGGGAUGACGGUACCCAAAGAAUAAGCACCGGCUAACUACGUGCCAGCCGCCGCCGUAA
rnacentral:rRNA from 1 species